rnacentral:tRNA from 1 species
GCCGAAGUGGCGGAAUAGGCAGACGCGCUGCGUUCAGGGCGCAGUGACCCUUGCGGUCAUGUGGGUUCGACUCCCACCUUCGGCACCA